UNUGACUUGAGUGCAGAAGGGGAGAGUGGANUUCCAUGUGUAGCGGUGAAAUGCGUAGAUAUAUGGAGGAACACCAGUGGCGAAAGCGGCUCUCUGGUCUGUCACUGACGCUGAGGCUCGAAAGCGUGGGUAGCGAACAGGAUUAGAUACCCUGGUAGUNCACGCCGUAAACGAUGAGUGCUAGGUGUUAGGCCCUUUCCGGGGCUUAGUGCCGGAGCUAACGCAAUAAGCACUCCGCCUGGGGAGUGCGACCGCAAGGUUGAAACUCAAAGGAAUUGACGGGGGCCCGCACAAGCGGUGGAGCAUGUGGUUUAAUUCGAAGCAACGCGAAGAACCUUACCAGGUCUUGACAUCCCGAUGCUAUUCUUAGAGAUAGGAAGUUACUUCGGUACAUCGGAGACAGGUGGUGCAUGGUUGUCGUCAGCUCGUGUCGUGAGAUGUUGGGUUAAGUCCCGCAACGAGCGCAACCCUUAUUGUUAGUUGCCAUCAUUAAGUUGGGCACUCUAGCGAGACUGCCGGUAAUAAACCGGAGGAAGGUGGGGAUGACGUCAAAUCAUCAUGCCCCUUAUGACCUGGGCUACACACGUGCUACAAUGGUCGGUACAACGAGUUGCGAGCCGGUGACGGCAAGCUAAUCUCUGAAAGCCGAUCUCAGUUCGGAUUGGAGGCUGCAACUCGCCUCCAUGAAGUCGGAAUCGCUAGUAAUCGCGGAUCAGCACGCCGCGGUGAAUACGUUCCCGGGCCUUGUACACACCGCCCGUCACACCACGAGAGUUUGUAACACCCGAAGUCG
rnacentral:rRNA from 1 species